rnacentral:rRNA from 1 species
AGAGUUUGAUCCUGGCUCAGGAUGAACGCUAGCUACAGGCUUAACACAUGCAAGUCGAGGGGAAACGACAUCGAAAGCUUGCUUUUGAUGGGCGUCAACCGGCGCACGGGUGAGUAACACGUAUCCAACCUGCCCACCACUUGGGGAUAACCUUGCGAAAGUAAGACUAAUACCCAAUGACGUCUCUAGAAGACAUCUGAAAGAGAUUAAAGAUUUAUCGGUGAUGGAUGGGGAUGCGUCUGAUUAGCUUGUUGGCGGGGUAACGGCCACCAAGGCGACGAUCAGUAGGGGUUCUGAGAGGAAGGUCCCCCACAUUGGAACUGAGACACGGUCCAAACUCCUACGGGAGCA